GUAACCUCAAAACAGAAUUUCACUCUGUAAUAUCAAGAGGCGGCCGACUGAAACGGUAUGCAAAAAACGGGUAGAGGGCGCGACGUGACUCGGCUCUUUGACAGAGAUUGAUAAAAAAAAAAGAAAUUUCCAAAUCGCUUUACAACUGACGGAGUAAUGAUGUAACAAACAUACAAAAAAAAAACAACCGAAUUGAGAAACUCCUUCUUUUUGAAGUCGAUUGAAAAAAAAAACACAAGCUUUAAUACAAAUGUGAUCUACAAUAAUUACUCCUCUCCAUCCAAAAGUUGCCUGGAAGAGAUCGCUCUUAGCGAUAAGGCCGCCCAUUGUUUUCUCAUUGUGAUUAUUUCUUGUAAUUAUUUAUAUUUAUAAUAAGUUUACUAUUGUAAUCUUUUCGAGGAAACAAUAAAGAGUAUCUAUCUAUCUAUUUUUCUUUUUAUAUUACAAUAAAGCCAACAACACACGGAACGACUCACAGAUAAUUAAUUUAAAAGACAAACGCUGUCACACCACAACUUUCAGUCGCACCACAACCAUCAUUUAUAUGAGGAAGGAAUCUUCUGGAAUCUUUCAGUUGCACUGACACAUUCAUCUCACGUCUUUUGUUAUAAUUAUUAAAUGUUGAAAUACGCUAAAAUG